UUCGAAGGGGGCGAGCGUUGUUCGGAUUUACUGGGCGUAAAGGGCGCGCAGGCGGCUUUGUUUGUCAGGCGUGAAAGCCCCGGGCUUAACCUGGGAACUGCGUUUGAUACGGCAGGGCUAGAGUUCGGGAGAGGAGAGUGGAAUUCCCAGUGUAGAGGUGAAAUUCGUAGGUAUUGGGAAGAACACCGGUGGCGAAGGCGGCUCUCUGGACCGAUACUGACGCUGAGGCGCGAAAGCGUGGGGAGCAAACAGG
rnacentral:rRNA from 1 species